rnacentral:rRNA from 1 species
AUUGAACGCUGGCGGCAGGCUUAACACAUGCAAGUCGAACGAGUGGCGGACGGGUGAGUAAUGCUUGGGAAUCUAGCUUAUGGCGGGGGAUAACUAUGGGAAACUGUAGCUAAUACCGCGUACCAUAGGAUGAGCCCAAGUGGGAUUCGGUAGUUGGUGAGGUAAAGGCUCACCAAGACGACAAUCCCUAGCUGGUCUGAUAGGAUGACCAGCCACACUGGGACGGAGACACGGCCCAGACUCCUACGGGAGGCAGCAGUGGGGAAUAUUGAGCAAUGGGGGCAACCUGACGCAGCCAUGCCGCGUGAAUGAAGAAGGCCGUCGGGUUGUAAAGUUCUUUCGGUAGCGAGGCGUUAACUACAGAAGAAGCACCGGCUAACUCCGUGCCAGCCGCCGCGGUAAUUC